rnacentral:lncRNA from 1 species
GAUGCAGCUAUUUCUGCUGAAGGCUGUGGAAGCUGCUUGGUAUACAAUGGCAAGUCCCUGACAGCCUGACAUGCCUUUGAAAGACUGGCUACUUUGCGCUUUCCUUUGGCAUUCAAGGAAACAGGAAUACCCCCAAAUUGGGCUGGGGUGAAUACGGUACAAUUUGGUAUAAAAUAACUCUCUCCAGUGGAGCCUACUGAAUUUUACUUGGAUCUGUGACAGCAUUGUGCUGCCUUGACACUACCAGGCUCUAGAUUUCCUUGCAAGCUGUGCUUCUCUGGGGUAGGACCAGGGCAACCCAUCUUUUGAGAGGCAGCUUGGAAGAGGAACUUGCUGCAGAACUUGAAGCCUCCAGUGCCACCGUUCUCAGGGCCUUCGACCUCCGCCCUUAGUGUCUGUGUCCCAGGCACGCCCAGAGUCGAUUCUGAAACUGCUGGGGAACUCCAGCCCAAGAGGCUGAAAGGACCCCACCUGGGGACUGCAUUAGGGAAGGAGAGCAAGUGGUUUGGUUCUGAUAGAAGAAGGACUUACAAGGAAGUCAGUAAGCUGUGGUAGUUAAGAAGGGAAAGCACACGGAGAAGCCAUCCUAAGACCUUCUCUGCCGGAGCUCCAAGAACCCCGGCCAUCAGCUUGACUAGCCACGCAGAGGGACCCCACAGAUUUGCUCUGUAGAGCUUUCUCUGAGCUGGUGACACAGAGAAGCAUUCUAGGGUGGGGCUUACAGUGGGGUCAGGCUCCUCUGAACCCCCCUCAGUGCAGUGGGAACCAUAAUACUCCAUGGAAAAGGGAGAAGGUAAGAGCCGGGCAAGGAUUUGUACUGAGUCCUUGUUUUUUGUAUUUUCCCUUCGUUUUAAAGUGUGUUCCAUCUAGUAAGGCUGGAGGGCAGGCCCAAGAGAAAGUCAACAAUGGACAAGGAGCCCCUUUCGUGUAGUGACGUUUGCAACAGAGACCUGGAUGUGGAGUCUAAGAUCUGAACUUGAUGCCUCAAACAAUCCUUUCCUCUUGUGUGGUCAUCAUUAAACCACUUAACCCUAUUAGUGCCUCAAUUGCC